UACGGGGGGGGCAAGCGUUGUUCGGAAUUACUGGGCGUAAAGCGUGCGUAGCCGGUUACAUAAGUCGGGUGUGAAAGCCCCGGGCUCAACCUGGGAAUUGCAUUCGAGACUGCGUAGCUAGGGUGCGGAAGAGGGAAGCGGAAUUUCCGGUGUAGCGGUGAAAUGCGUAGAUAUCGGAAGGAACACCAGUGGCGAAAGCGGCUUCCUGGUCCAGCACCGACGUUCAGGCACGAAAGCGUGGGGAGCAAACAGG
rnacentral:rRNA from 1 species